rnacentral:rRNA from 1 species
CCGCCGGCGACCGGCGCACGGGUGAGUAACACGUAUGCAACCUGGCCGUGACAGAUGGAUAACCGGGAGAAAUCCCGCCUAAUACAACAUAAUGCCGGGAGGGGACAUCCCCUGCCGGCCAAAGGGGCGACCCCGGUCACGGAUGGGCAUGCGGCGCAUUAGGUAGUUGGUGGGGCAACGGCCCACCAAGCCGACGAUGCGUAGGGGUUCUGAGAGGAAGGUCCCCCACACUGGAACUGAGACACGGUCCAAACUCCUACGGGAGGCAGCAG